rnacentral:hammerhead_ribozyme from 1 species
AUCCAUCUGACAAGUCCCAAACAGAACGAAAUGCGCGUUCUUGAU